AACCCGUGUUGUGGACACUUCCGCAAGAAGUCCUUGAAUUGUUCCCAGGUCUCAAACAAGGAUUCAAGCUUGAUCUGAAUAAAUGAAGAUAUCUCAUUACGAAGCU